CCUACGGGAGGCAGCAGUAGGGAAUCUUCGGCAAUGGACGAAAGUCUGACCGAGCAACGCCGCGUGAGUGAAGAAGGUUCUCGGAUCGUAAAACUCUGUUGUUAGAGAAGAACAAGUGGGAGAGUAACUGUUCCCACCUUGACGGUAUCUAACCAGAAAGCCACGGCUAACUACGCGCCAGCAGCCGCGGUAAUACGUAGGUGGCAAGCGUUGUCCGGAUUUAUUGGGCGUAAAGCGAGCGCAGGCGGUUUCUUAAGGCUGAUGUGAAAGCCCCCGGCUCAACCGGGGAGGGUCAUUGGAAACUGGGAGACUUGAGUGCAGAAGAGGAGAGUGGAAUUCCAUGUGUAGCGGUGAAAUGCGUAGAUAUAUGGAGGAACACCAGUGGCGAAGGCGGCUCUCUGGUCUGUAACUGACGCUGAGGCUCGAAAGCGUGGGGAGCAAACAGGAUUAGAUACCCCCGUAGUC
rnacentral:rRNA from 1 species